UACGGGGGGGGCAAGCGUUGUUCGGAAUUACUGGGCGUAAAGGGCUCGUAGGCGGCCAACUAAGUCGGACGUGAAAUCCCUCGGCUUAACCGGGGAACGGCGUCCGAUACUGGACGGCUUGAGUUUGGGAGAGGGAUGCGGAAUUCCAGGUGUAGCGGUGAAAUGCGUAGAGAUCUGGAAGAACACCCAAGGCGAAGGCGGCGUCCUGGCUCGCAACUGACGCUCAUGUGCGAAAGCUAGGGGAGCGAACGGG
rnacentral:rRNA from 1 species